rnacentral:rRNA from 1 species
UACGGGGGGGGCAAGCGUUGUUCGGAAUUACUGGGCGUAAAGCGCACGUAGGCGGAUCGAUCAGUCAGGGGUGAAAUCCCGGAGCUCAACUCCGGAACUGCCUCUGAUACAGCACGUCUUGAGUUCGAGAGAGGUGGGUGGAAUUCCUAGUGUAGAGGUGAAAUUCGUAGAUAUUAGGAAGAACACCGGUGGCGAAGGCGGCCCACUGGCUCGAUACUGACGCUGAGGUGCGAAAGCGUGGGAGCAAACAGGG